rfam:Schistosoma mansoni strain Puerto Rico chromosome 6, complete genome
AUCCAGCUGACGAGUCUCAAAUGGGACGAAACACCUGUCCUGGAU